UGACUUACAUGGUGUUUUGGG
rnacentral:piRNA from 1 species